UACAGAGGGUGCGAGCGUUAAUCGGAAUUACUGGGCGUAAAGCGUGCGUAGACGGUUAUUUAAGUCGGGUGUGAAAGCCCCGGGCUCAACCUGGGAAUUGCAUUCGAGACUGAAUAGCUAGGGUACGGUAGAGGGAAGUGGAAUUUCCGGUGUAGCGGUGAAAUGCGUAGAUAUCGGAAGGAACAUCAGUGGCGAAAGCGACUUCCUGGACCAGUACCGACGUUCAGGCACGAAAGCGUGGGGAGCAAA
rnacentral:rRNA from 1 species